GCGGAAGUGGCGGAACUGGCAGACGCACUGGAUUUAGGUUCCAGCGGUUAACAGCCGUGCAGGUUCAAGUCCUGUCUUCCGCACCA
rnacentral:tRNA from 1 species